GAUAGCUCAGUCGGUAGAGCGCACGGCUGUUAACCGUUAGGUCGUAGGUUCGAGUCCUACUC
rnacentral:tRNA from 1 species